AACAAGUAAAUUAAAUGUACUUUCGGAUUAUAAUUUGAUGUUUUUCAUGUGUAGGUUCAACGUAGGACCUUAGAAUCAAAAUAAUUUCGUAUCUCGUUCUAGGAAUGAUUAAGGAACCAAAAUGAGGAUUACGAAGACAAGCAGAUCUAUUAAUAAAUGAAUGUUUACUUGGAUCGACGUGCAUACGUGAUUCAGGUGUUUCUUUCGAUUAAACUAUAUCUAGUAAAAUCGGGAUAAAGAAGUUAAACAAAUUCGAAACCAGGUAGUCUAGAGCAUGGACAAUAGUUUAAAGUCGGAUGUGUGUCAAACAUAUUCAAUCUUCAAGAACAUUUGUACAUUCACACGGUGCCUAACUAAUACGGAUAAUAUCGGAAACAUUUCAACGUUUCCGGAUAAUACCCGAAACGGCAGUAUAUUGACUGUUUUGAGACUUCAGUGCCCUAACAUCUUACUUUGAAGUUCGAGAUAGAAUAUGAAUGUCACGACAGACCGAUGUUUUUUCGGGUUUGAAACUGCAGAGACUGAAGAGAAGCAGAGUUGUGUGUUUGUAUCUGUAACUGUUCCCCCUAGUAAUGUAGACAGAUACAAUGUUGAGUCUGGAGUGGAUAAUUUAUUGUUUGAGGUAGACUGCAACAAUCAUGAAAGUGAAAAAAGCCACCGAGCAACCAUUAGAUAGCUGUUUACAUGUAGAAUGUUCAGUUGAAAUUUUUGUCGACAAUAAUAUUAUAUGAGUGCAAAAUAUGUGACAACAAGUAUAGGACAAAAUCUGGAUACAAACGAUAUUUAAUAAGACACAUAUUUGGAAGAUAUUUGUUUAAGCUUGUUAAAACAUUUUUUUGCAUACAAAUUUAAGGUUUGUUGUAGAUACCAAAACACAUAAUUAUACUAUUUGUUGUGUAUUGUUAUUAUAUAUAGAUUUUGUUGAAGCUUGUCAAGGCCAAUUUUACUGAAAUUAUAGAGAUUUACCGGUAGUUCAAUAAUGUUUGGAAAUAUGUUGUUGAUUAUGUGCAUGGGGGUAGACUGAAUCAUUUAUCACUCUUAUGAAAAUAGUGAGGCUGUGCCGACAGUGGUAUACAGUGUACUACUUAUUGGAAUCCUGUAUGUGUCGAGUACCAUAAUUAUUUUCUUAAUACUGUUAGUAGACAGUGUUCAUAUCAAUUAAACAUAUAUCAACAUAAAUAGAUGAUAUCCCUUAUCUUGUCAUGUUAACAAUAUACAUAAUUGUAACCAUUUCAGACAUCUUUUAAUGUUAAAUGACAUAAUUUUAAAAUUAUUGUUAUGAACUCUGAAAUAUUUAAA